GUCGAACGAUGAACCAGGAGCUUGCUCUUGGGGAUUAGUGGCGAACGGGUGAGUAACACGUGAGUAACCUGCCCUUGACUCUGGGAUAACCUCCGGAAACGGAAGCUAAUACCGGAUAUGACGUACGGAGGCAUCUCCUGUACGUGGAAAGAAUUUCGGUCAAGGAUGGACUCGCGGCCUAUCAGGUAGUUGGUGAGGUAACGGCCCACCAAGCCUACGACGGGUAGCCGGCCUGAGAGGGUGACCGGCCACACUGGGACUCAGACACGGCCCAGACUCCUACGGGAGGCAGCAGUGGGGAAUAUUGCACAAUGGGCGCAAGCCUGAUGCAGCAACGCCGCGUGAGGGACGACGGCCUUCGGGUUGUAAACCUCUUUUAGUAGGGAAGAAGCGAAAGUGACGGUACCUGCAGAAAAAGCACCGGCUAACUACGUGCCAGCAGCCGCGGUAAUACAUAGGGUGCAAGCGUUGUCCGGAAUUAUUGGGCGUAAAGAGCUCGUAGGCGGUUUGUCGCGUCUGCUGUGAAAUCCCGAGGCUCAACCUCGGGCCUGCAGUGGGUACGGGCAGACUAGAGUGCGGUAGGGGAGAUUGGAAUUCCUGGUGUAGCGGUGGAAUGCGCAGAUAUCAGGAGGAACACCGAUGGCGAAGGCAGAUCUCUGGGCCGUAACUGACGCUGAGGAGCGAAAGCGUGGGGAGCGAACAGGAUUAGAUACCCUGGUAGUCCACGCCGUAAACGUUGGGAACUA
rnacentral:rRNA from 1 species